rnacentral:sRNA from 1 species
GGAUUCCUUUUAAGAUUGGGCAGCCCAAGAAACAGAUUGUGCCCAAAACAGUGGAGAGAGACUUUGAAAGGGAGUAUGGAAAACUUCAGCAGCUGGAAGAGCAGACCCGGAGGCUGCAGAAAGACAUGAAGAAGAGCACCGACGCCGACCUGGCCAUGUCAAAAUCUGCCGUGAAGAUAUCCUUGGACUUACUCUCUAAUCCCCUCUGUGAGCAAGACCAGGACCUUCUGAACAUGGUGAUGGCCCUGGACACGGCCGUGAAGCGGAUGGACGCCUUCAAUCAGGAAAAGGUGAACCAGAUCCAGAAGACUGUGAUCGAGCCCUUAAAAAAAUUCGGCAGCGUCUUCCCGAGCCUCAACAUGGCGGUGAAGCGGCGGGAACAGGCCUUGCAGGACUAUAGGAGGCUGCAGGCCAAGGUGGAGAAGUAUGAGGAAAAGGAGAAGACGGGGCCAGUGCUGGCCAAGCUCCACCAGGCGCGAGAGGAGCUGCGGCCUGUGCGGGAGGACUUUGAAGCCAAAAACAGGCAGCUGCUGGAGGAGAUGCCGCGCUUCUACGGCAGCCGCCUCGACUACUUCCAGCCCAGCUUCGAGUCCCUCAUCCGAGCUCAGGAGGAAGCCACAGCGUGCCAGGCUCCCGCAUGUCCAGGUUGGAGCAGAUGGGAGGCCAGGGAUGCCCUUUAACCAGGCAGCGUUGCUGGGGGCUGUUGACUGCCUCCUGGGCCCCAGCCUCCCCCUCGCCCGCCCGGCUGCCAUUAGUCAUGGAGAAGUUGUGUACUACUCGGAAAUGCACAAGAUCUUUGGAGA